GUAUGAUGGGAUUUGUAUUUCAUUUGUUGCUUCAAAAACUUGGUAUUGAAGCAUGAUUAAGGCUUUCCAUAUGGGAAAAUCUUCAGUGCAUGAAGGAAAAAGUAUGUUUAAUAUCUAAUAUUUCUGAACAUGGCUAGGGUUUAAUAUGCAAGAAAAAGUGCUUUCAUUUUCAUUUACUAUUUCAAGUGAGACAGAAUUGGCAUAUAUAUAUAUAUAUAUGUAUGUUUAUCUUGGAAGCAUUUCAGAAGCACCCCUUACUAUAAUAGCCCUGCUAUUGAUGAGCCACUAUAAUAUGAUGUUCAUACUUCUUAUUCGAAAUUUCUGUGAGUAUGCAACUCUCAUGAGAGUUUACAGAUGAUUAUAUGGUCACGAAAAUCACUCUCCUUUGUCAUGUGAUCUCUGGAUGUGACUACUAGCCCAAUUGACUCGUCUGGAGACAGAUUAAUUAGGCUUGAAUUCUGUGGAAGUAUUAAUACCACAUUCUGUGCAGUAUUAAUACCACAUCUGUUGAGAUAACCAUUAUUUACUGACUAGACUUCAAUGGAGGACCCUUUUAAUCAUUUGUCACUCAGGCAGAACUCCCUGUGUUGUUGAUGGGAGUAUUGCCUGGCUGAAGAGUGCUGAAGAAAAUGUCUUAGUUGAGAGAUUUUGUCAUUUUGCUCUCAAUUAUACCUGUGUAUUCCACUCAGUCAGGAUACAGGGUUGUAAGUGAAGACAGAAUUUGGCUCAGUGUGCGUAUCUGAUACGGAUUCAUAAAUCAGAAAAGUCCAAACCAGAUAUCAAAUAUGCAACCAAAUUGGUUUGCUGUUGACAAGACAGACUGUAGAAAAUGUGUUACAAAAGUUAAAACAAUUCAGUUUUAACAUGCCAGUGCUGUAGGGAGAAAAAGGAAAAUAUGAUGAUUGUGGGACUAGCUGCAGCAGAAAAACAUACAGUGCACAUGUGCUGCAUGAUUAACAAUUUUGCCACCACCAAUUGAGGUAUGACUUACCCAUUUGACUAGAGUUUGGAUCCAUGGAUGACAGUUACUUUUCAGUUGCUACUUCCUUGCCUCUCUUGCAUUUUUCCCCCACCUGGCUUAUCUUCUGUUUUAACUAGAUAUGAAAAUGUAGAAUGAUAGGUCAUUGUAUUAAUAUUUUUAUUAAGUUUCAUGACAAGCUUUGUACAGGACUAUUAUAAGAAAAUCUUGACUACUAUUCAAGAAAAAUAAGAGUUUUAGCCAUUAAAUCUUAAAAUAAUCACAAACUUCAGGAUUUCAGCUGUGUGUGAGUUUGUGUGAGGGAAUAUGAAGGAAUCUUUUCUUAAUGUACAGCAUUUCACAACUGACUAGGCACUAUCAUAGAGUGUCUUUCCCUGACAUCAGAAAUUUUAUUACUACAGCUUACUAUUUUAACACUUACAUAGCUACAAAGGUGGACACAGUGCACAGAAUGAAGAUACAGGGUCAGUUUCUUUUCUCAUGCUCGUUGGAAUUUUAAAAUAACUAUACUGACGUUAAUGGGUUCACACCCAUGUAAGUGAGAAGAGAAUGAGGCACAUCUUUUCUCCUUGAUGAUGUUAAAGUCCAGGUUAUGUGUGGGUCACGACCCUGUGAAGGGUGGGAUCAGGUAACAUGAUAGAGCUAUUAAUUAUUGUCGGAAACAGCAUAUUGGACUAGAUCAGUGGUUCUCAAACUAUUAUACUGGUGACCCCUUUUACAUAGCAAGCCUCUGAUCAGGUAUGGCAAAAGUUACAUUCCAAAGGAAAAUACAUCGACCACUGUUCAGUAAUGUGUAUAUAUAAUGUUUAAUCCCAAACUUGAAUAAUCCAGAUAUAUGAAUUCAUGAUUUAUAAACCUUGAUUUUAAUUCAAAUCACUCUUUAGCUAUUGGUCUUAAUCUUGUGCACAGCAAAAAACCAUC